GAUGAACGCUGGCGGCGUGCCUAAUACAUGCAAGUCGAGCGAACAGACGAGGAGCUUGCUCCUCUGACGUUAGCGGCGGACGGGUGAGUAACACGUGGAUAACCUACCUAUAAGACUGGGAUAACUUCGGGAAACCGGAGCUAAUACCGGAUAAUAUAUUGAACCGCAUGGUUCAAUAGUGAAAGACGGUUUUGCUGUCACUUAUAGAUGGAUCCGCGCCGCAUUAGCUAGUUGGUAAGGUAACGGCUUACCAAGGCAACGAUGCGUAGCCGACCUGAGAGGGUGAUCGGCCACACUGGAACUGAGACACGGUCCAGACUCCUACGGGAGGCAGCAGUAGGGAAUCUUCCGCAAUGGGCGAAAGCCUGGCGGAGCAACGCCGCGUGAGUGAUGAAGGUCUUCGGAUCGUAAAACUCUGUUAUUAGGGAAGAACAAAUGUGUAAGUAACUAUGCACGUCUUGACGGUACCUAAUCAGAAAACCACGGCUAACUACGU
rnacentral:rRNA from 1 species